rnacentral:rRNA from 1 species
CGGGUGAGUAACGCGUGGAUAACCUGCCGUAUGCAGGGGGAUACCAACUGGAAACAGUUGCUAAUACCGCAUAAGCGCACAGCACCGCAUGGUGCAGUGUGAAAAGAUUUAUCGGCAUACGAUGGAUCCGCGUCCGAUUAGCCAGUUGGCGGGGUAGAAGCCCACCAAAGCGACGAUCGGUAGCCGGCCUGAGAGGGCGGACGGCCACAUUGGGACUGAGACACGGCCCAAACUCCUACGGAAGGCAGCAG